AUGAGGCUGCUGGUUCUUGUCCUGUGCCUGGUCACAGCUCCCCAAGGUGUCCUGUGCCAGGUGCAGCUGCAGGAAUCAGGACCUGGUCUGGUGAAGCCCUCACAGACCCUGUCCCUCACCUGUGCUGUCUCUGGAUUCUCCAUCACAACCAGUGGUUACCGCUGGCACUGGAUCCGUCAGCCCCCAGGGAAGGGGCUGGAGUGGAUAGGACGCAUAUGGUAUGAUGGUGAUACUAACUACAACCCAUCCCUGAAGAGCCGAGUGUCCAUCUCCAGAGACACGUCCAAGAACCAGUUCUCCCUGCAGCUGAGCUCCCUGACCACUGAGGACACGGCCACCUAUUACUGUGCCAGAGACACAGACCUGAUGCAGUAG